AGGGCUGUCCCUAGUCCCGCGCGCCGCCUCCUUCUGGGUCUCCUCCACUGGGACCUGAGGUCCAGAGCGCGGCUUCCCUGCGGGUGGCGCGAUGGGUUGCGGGAACUCCACGGCCACCAGCGCGGCCGCGGGCCGAGGUUGUUGGCCUGCCCUCUGAAGCUGUCAACAUGGCGUCUAGUCAAACAAAAGCUUGCUCAUGAAUUUGGAAGGAACUUGGCUUCCGGGACACUGAACACAGAUAUCUUCAAACAAAUUCCGAAAGGUCAUUCCUGCUGUGCAACCUCGCCCGAAUCCUAGCUGUGUAGUGAAGGCCAUGGGUCCAUACUGAUGUUGUGGUCAUAGAAGGGACUUUGUGCCACCCACCAAUGAGAGACCAUAAAGGCUGUUGCUACCCGGCCUGGGCCACCAGGCUCCACACCAUGGUGUUUCCCCUCCUGGCCAUCCAGCACAGGUCGCCAAGCGCAUGUCUUUUCACUGAUAAUCUUUUGAUAGUUUUUAUAUGACACAAUCCUUAUUGUAUUUAUAACAUGGUCAUAGGGCCACAUAAAGGAAUUACCUGAAGUAAUAUAUUGCCUCUUGUCUUCAAUGUUUCUAUGUCAUUAUUUUUUAGCUGUAAAGUUGGUAAAUGGAUUCUUAUAACCAUCUCCCUUUUUUUACUAGUUGGUUUAAAAUUUUUAUUUACAUGCUGGGAGAAUUCCCUUUGUUAAGAACAUUGCAGCAUUUGAAAAUGAACUCGUUAAAUGUGCAUGCUAUACACAUAUGGAUUAAAGUCCUCUUUUCUUCAGUCAAAGGCUUAAAUAAUUAUAAGUAGUCUCCAGCUACCCACUUGCCUGUUCUCCCCUUGUGUAGCCUGAGCAUCUCAUCAUAUUAACUCUGCACUGUCUCUUAGGACGUAACUGAGGACAGUUAAUGUUUAGUGGGGUUUCUGGGAAAUGCUUAAUUUGCUAACAAUAUGUGUAUGCACUCAUGACAGCAGUAUAAGGAUCUCAGUUUGCCAAUGUAUUUCAACAAUUAAACAUUUUUAUCCCUCUUU
rnacentral:lncRNA from 1 species